rnacentral:rRNA from 1 species
CAUUUGUCUUUUAAAUGGAGACUCGGAUGAACGGCGAAACCUUUUUCAACUGUCUCCCCUCCCACCCUUUUAAAUUUCUUCCUGUGUGAAGAAGCACAGAUAUAUUAGAAAGACGAGAAGACCCUGUCGAGCUUUAGUCACCAAGUGGACCGCUUCCUUUUAAGGUACCACCUAAAGGCUUUGGUUGGGGCAACCAUGGAGAAAAAAAAUCCUCCAGAACAAAUAGAAGAAAAUCCUUCACUAUUUAUUAAACUUAAGAACCAGGAACUGGUAUUCGGAAAAAGUUACCGCAGGGAUAACAGCGUCAUCUCCUCUAAGAGUCCUUAUUGACGAGGAGGUUUGCGACCUCGAUGUUGGAUUGGGGCCCCCUUAGGGUGCAGAAGCUCUAAACGGUUAGACUGUUCGUCUAUUAAAGCCCUACAUGAUCUGAGUUCAAACCGGAG